rnacentral:rRNA from 1 species
CUACGGGCGGCAGCAGUCGCGAAUCUUUUGCAAUGCGCGCAAGCGUGACAAAGCGAACCAAAGUGAUUUCCGCACAGGAAAUCUUUUCUUCACUUUAAAAAGGUGGAGGAAUAAGGACUGGGUAAGACCGGUGCCAGCCGCCGCGGUAAUCCCGGCAGUCCAAGUUGCAUCCAACAUUAUUGGGUCUAAAACAUCCGUAGCUUGUUUGUUAAGUUUCUUGUGAAAUUCUACAUCUCAAGGGUAGAGCGCGCAAGAAAUACUGACAGACUAGAGACCGGUAGGUGUAAUGAGUACGUCGGAGGUAGUGGUAAAAUACGUUAAUCUUCGAUGGACUAACAAUCAGCGAAGGCACAUUACAAGGACGGAUCUGACAGUGAGGGAUGAAGGCUAGGGGCGCAAAACGGAUUAGAUACCCUUGUAGUC